UACGUAGGGCGCAAGCGUUGUCCGGAAUUAUUGGGCGUAAAGAGCUCGUAGGCGGUCUGUUACGUCCGCUGUGAAAACCCAGGGCUCAACCCCGAACUUGCAGUGGGUACGGGCAGACUAGAGUGUGGUAGGGGAGACUGGAAUUCCUGGUGUAGCGGUGAAAUGCGCAGAUAUCAGGAGGAACACCGAUGGCGAAGGCAGGUCUCUGGGCCAUAACUGACGCUGAGAAGCGAAAGCAUGGGGAGCGAACAGG
rnacentral:rRNA from 1 species